rnacentral:tRNA from 1 species
GUAGACAUAGUUUAAUGAAAACACUAGAUUGUGAUUCUAGAGACAGAGGUUAAACCCCUCUUGUCAACC